AUACGUAGGGGGCGAGCGUUGUCCGGAAUGAUUGGGCGUAAAGGGCGCGUAGGCGGCCUGUUAAGUCCGGAGUGAAAUUCCUGCUUUCAAGGUAGGAAGUGCUUUGGAAACUGGCGGGCUGGAGUGCAGGAGAGGUUAGCGGAAUUCCCGGUGUAGCGGUGAAAUGCGUAGAGAUCGGGAGGAACACCAGUGGCGAAGGCGGCUAACUGGACUGUAACUGACGCUGAGGCGCGAAAGUGUGGGGAGCAAACAGGAUUAGAUACCCUGGUAGUCCACACUGUAAACGAUGAAUGCUAGGUGUAGGGGGUAUCGACCCCUUCUGUGCCGGAGUCAACACAAUAAGCAUUCCGCCUGGGGAGUACGGCCGCAAGGUUGAA
rnacentral:rRNA from 1 species